UCAGCUAUUAGGAGAAGCCCUUUUGGAGCAAGAGCAUGGACAGUCUCACAGAAAGCAGGACCGCUUCGGAGAAUCCAGCCAGAGUGGAAGGUGGGCAGGAAGGGAGUGUGUUGUUUGGAGGGAGGUUUUGUUUUGUUUCAGACAUCACCCAUUUGUAGGUAUGGAGCAUUUUAUGAAUACCAAAACUUUCUUCUGUCCGCAAUAAAACCGUUUCUGAUGAUAUUAUAGGUGAAUGAGAACCUUAUAUACUUAUUUCAGCAGUUUUGAGAUAUGAUUCACAUGCUGUACACUUUGCUCAUUAAAAGUAUACAAUUAUUUGUGGUCCAGGAGGUGGCGCAGUGGUAAAGCUUUGGACUCUCAAGCAUGAGGUCCUGAGUUUGAUCCCUGGCACCACGUGUGCCAGAAUGAUGUCUGGUUCUUUCUCUCUCCUCCUAUCUUUCUCAUAAAUAAAAUCUUUAAAAAAAAGUAUACCAUUAUUUAUGAUGACAUAUGGGAGUCAUGUGUUAUAAAUAACGUUUAAAGUAUGCAAACUCCUGAAGUAGAGUUUAUUUAUUUUAUUUUAUGUUCCUCCAGGGCUAUCGUUAGGGCUUGGUGCUGGCACUAGGAAUCCACUGCUUCUGGUGGCCAUUUGUCCACUUUUCUUUUUAAAUUGGAUAGGACAGAGAGAAAUUGAGAGAGGAGGGGGAGAUAGAGAGGGAAAGAGAUAGACACCUGCAGACCUGCUUCACCACUUGUGAAGCAUCCCCCCUGCAGGUGGGGAGUGGGAACUUGAACCUGGAUCCUUGCACAUGGUGAUAUGCGUACUUAACCAGGUGCACCACCACCCAGCCCCUGAAUAUAAAUGUACUAAAGAAAUUAAUUUAUCUUAUUAAUUUUAAAAAAUUGCCCCCAGGUUUAUCUCUGGGGCUUGGUGUCUCUGUGCCAGUUUUCCUUUUAAAAAUUAUUUUAUUUGCUGGAACAGAGAGAAAUUGAGAGGGAAGGGGGAAACAGAAAGUGAGAAGAUCAGAGAGACACCUGUAGAUUCACAGCUUGUGAAACUUCCCCUCCUCUCCCCCUACCCCUGCAGGUGGGGACCAGGGGCUUGAGCCUGGAUCCUUUUGCAUGAUGAGUUGUGUGUGUAACCAGGCAUACACUGCUUGGUCCACUAAACUUAUUAAGUAGUAUUAUUUUAGUUUUCAAAGUAAAACUGAUAAGCCUCUAUAGUAACUUUGAGUAGCAUCUCUUCUUUAAGGAAAAAAAAAAGUGAGAGAUGCCCACUUCUCUAGAAGUAGAAAUGGAAUUAUAAAGCUCCCACUCCCCUCUGUGGUGAUGGCAGGGUUAUUUUCAUGUCAUCAAUCCAUAAAUGAAUGAGGAUACUGAAGUUUAGAAGUAUGAAUUAAUGAGGUUCUAUACAUGUAUAGUGAAUAUUUUUUGAUGCAUUUCUUUUUUAAAGUUUUUUUAUAUUUAUUUUCCCUGUUGUUGCCCUUGUUUUUCUUUUUUAUUGUUGUUGUUGUUAUUGAUGUCGUCGUCGUUGUUGGAUAGGACAGAGAGAAAUGGAGAGAGGAGGGGAAGACAGAGAGGGGGAGAGUCACCUGUGAAGCAACUCCCCUGCAGGUGGGGAGCCAGGGGCUUGAAUCGGGAUGCUUAUGCCGGUUCUUUUGAUGCAUUUUUAUAUUUUUUGCUGUCAUCACUGGGCUUCACUGUUCUGAGAUAACUUUUUCAGAUAGAAAGACACAGACAGAGGCGGCCAGGUAGUAGUGCAGCAGGUUAAGCACACAUGGUGCAAAGUGCAAGGACUGGCAUAAGGAUCCAGGUUCCAGCCCCUGCAGGAGGGUCACUUCACUAUCUGUUUUUCCCUUUUUCGAUUUCUCGCUGUCCUAUUUAACAACAAUAACCAAAAAAAAAAAAAAAAAGGGCAACAAAAUGGGAAAAAUGGCCUCUAUGAGCAGUGGAUUCACAGUGCAGACACUGAGCCCCAGCAAUAACCCUGCAGGUAAAACAAACCAGAAUGGAAGAUACCAUCCCAGCACUAACACUUCCUCCAGUGCAGUGGAGACUCAGUUCAACAUGUGACAAAGCAGGUUCACUAAGUGAGCUGUUUUGAUGGCUAUGAAGGUUUUAUAAUUGGUGUAUGUAUGUGACUUUCAGUUAUAAGUAAGGAAGCCCUUUUCAUGGUAAUAUUUUGUUGGUGGUGAUAAUUAGGUUUUUCUGAAGGUGAUAAUCUUGCCCCUUCUCCUGGAUUCAAACUUCGAAGCAGUUGAGAAAGAACUAGGCUGCCAGAAACUGAACUAUCAGCUUUAUUACAGGUAAGACUGAUGGCAGCCCCAGAGUUUUUUUUUUUUUUUUGUAUUAUUAUUCUGAUUAAUUUCAGUGCCAGGGCUGGAACACUCAAAAGCCUCAUGUUCACAGAUGAGGGAGGCCAGAGGGUGCUCGACCUGGAAUGUUCCACAGCACUGGGAAUUCCGAGUCCUUUCAGUGUUGUCGAUUUGCUAAUGUGCGUUUUCCUUUUCCAGGGUCAUUUUGGAGCACAGAAUAGAUGCUCCAGCUCCAGCCAUCACACCUACAUUCUAGCCAAUGAAAAGGAAGAGGGCAUAGGGACACAUCACCAUUUGCCUGCUUUCACUAGCUCACUUGACCACCUCUGGCUAGUAAGGGUCCUAGGUUCACUCUCGGCACCACAUGGAGACAAAGGGAGUUCUGUGGAUGGUGGAAUGGUGCUUUCGUGUCUCUCCCUCUAAGUAUACACAACGGAAAAGCCAAGUCAGGGAGGCCACUUAGCAGAAUCACAUGAUCUGUGGCCUCUGUUCUGCUCCAUAGCCCAGGACCACAAACAUUAAAACAAAAGUAGCUGUGAAGAAAAGAUGAGAAGAUCCAGUAAAAAGUGAACUCUGGCUGCUGACAUCUCAGUGUUCAGUGUGGACUAUGCAGGCUACCUCAGUGGGUGGUGAGAAAGAGAGCUUCUGCAGGCCCCACACCUAUGGACAUCUAAUCUUUGACAAAGGUGCCCAUACUAUUAGGUGGGGAAAGCAGAGUCCCUUCAACAAAUGGUGUUGGAAACAAUGGGUUGAAACAUGCAGAAGAAUGAAACUGAAUCACUGUAUUUCACCAAACACAAAAGUAAAUUCCAAGUGGAUCAAGGACUUGGAUGUGAGACCACAAACUAUCAGAUACUUAGAGGAAAAUAUUGGUAGAACCCUUUUCCGCAUAAAUUUUAAAGACAUUUUCAAUGAAAUGAAUCCAAUUACAAAGAAGACUAAGGCAAGUAUAGACCUAUGGGACUACAUCAAAUUAAAAAGCUUUUUCACAGCA